rnacentral:tRNA from 2 species
UCCUCGAUAGCUCAAUGGUAGAGCACGCGGCUGUUAACCGCGGGGUUGUUGGUUCGAGCCCAACUCGGGGAGCUA